rnacentral:rRNA from 1 species
UACGUAGGGGGCUAGCGUUGUCCGGAUUUAUUGGGCGUAAAGAGCGUGUAGGCGGCCUGGUAGGUCUGCUGUGAAAACUCAAGGCUCAACCUCGAGAUGUCGGCGGAAACCAUCUGGCUAGAGUCCGGAAGAGGAGAGUGGAAUUCCUGGUGUAGCGGUGAAAUGCGCAGAUAUCAGGAAGAACACCUAUGGCGAAGGCAGCUCUCUGGGACGGUACUGACGCUGAGACGCGAAAGCGUGGGGAGCGAACAGG